CUCUUGAGUGUUUCUCCUUGUAAGGUUUCCCUAACUGCAAUGAGAGCGUCCUUAAUCAGAUCUUCCCGUGAGGAGUCUGUAAAGUUCUCAAACCUGCGUUCCAAGUAUGUCUUUGCAGCUUGUGAGCGAGAUCCAAUAGCAAAUGCUUGAUAUUCAAAAUAGUUCCCACUAGGGCAAUUGUAGUAGAGGUGAGCUCCAGAUUCAUCCAAGCCGGCUACAAGCAGCCCAACACCAUAGGGCCGUUUCCAAGAGCGUUGGGUGCAUACCUGAGCCUUAUCAGCGAGUUGGACGACGAGUCGACCAACCGGAAGUGGGGA
rnacentral:misc_RNA from 1 species